rnacentral:rRNA from 1 species
GAUGAACGCUGGCGGCGUGCCUAAUACAUGCAAGUCGAGCGAACAGAUGAGGAGCUUGCUCCUCUGACGUUAGCGGCGGACGGGUGAGUAACACGUGGAUAACCUACCUAUAAGACUGGGAUAACUUCGGGAAACCGGAGCUAAUACCGGAUAAUAUAUUGAACCGCAUGGUUCAAUAGUGAAAGACGGUUUUGCUGUCACUUAUAGAUGGAUCCGCGCCGCAUUAGCUAGUUGGUAAGGUAACGGCUUACCAAGGCAACGAUGCGUAGCCGACCUGAGAGGCUGAUCGGCCACACUGGAACUGAGACACGGUCCAGACUCCUACGGGAGGCAGCAGUAGGGAAUCUUCCGCAAUGGGCGAAAGCUUGACGGAGCAACGCCGCGUGAGUGAUGAAGGUCUUCGGAUCGUAAAACUCUGUUAUUAGGGAAGAACAAAUGUGUAAGUAACUAUGCACGUCUUGACGGUACCUAAUCAGAAAGCCACGGCUAACUACGUG